UCUGGCGUAAUAAGUUUCGCUGGUGUCGGCUUGAGAAGUACGCUUCUAAUCGUCUUCGGACAAUUCUUGAACUCUGGUCUCAAAUCAGGUAGGGCUACCCGCUGAACUUAAGCAUAUCAAUAAGCGGAGGAAAAGAAACUAACAAGGAUUCCCUUAGUAACGGCGAGUGAACCGGGAAAAGCUCAAAUUUGUAAUCUGGCUGUCUUCGAUAGUCCGAGUUGUAAUCUAUAGACGUGUUUUCCGUGCUGGACCGUAUCUAAGUCCCUUGGAACAGGGUAUCAAAGAGGGUGACAAUCCCGUGCUUGAUACGACCACCAGUGCUCUGUGAUACACGCUCUACGAGUCGAGUUGUUUGGGAAUGCAGCUCAAAAUGGGUGGUAAAUUCCAUCUAAAGCUAAAUAUUGGCGAGAGACCGAUAGCGAACAAGUACCGUGAGGGAAAGAUGAAAAGCACUUUGGAAAGAGAGUUAAACAGUACGUGAAAUUGUUGAAAGGGAAACGAUUGAAGUCAGUCGUGUUCUUUGGAUUCAGCUAGUUCUUCUAGUCUACUUCCUUUGAACGGGUCAACAUCAGUUUUGUCCGGUGGAUAAAGAUAGUAGGAAUGUAGCUCCCUCGGGAGUGUUAUAGACUAUUAUUGCAUGCACUGGGUGAGACUGAGGACUGCAGCUCGCCUUUUGGCCGGCCUUCGGGUACGUUCGAG
rnacentral:rRNA from 1 species